UACGUAGGGUGCGAGCGUUAAUCGGAAUUACUGGGCGUAAAGCGUGCGCAGGCGGUUUUGUAAGUCAGAUGUGAAAUCCCCGGGCUCAACCUGGGAACUGCGUUUGAAACUACAAGGCUAGAGUGUAGCAGAGGGGGGUGGAAUUCCACGUGUAGCAGUGAAAUGCGUAGAGAUGUGGAGGAACACCGAUGGCGAAGGCAGCCCCCUGGGUCAAGACUGACGCUCAUGCACGAAAGCGUGGGGAGCAAGCAGG
rnacentral:rRNA from 1 species